rnacentral:tRNA from 2 species
GCGGAGAUUGCCGAGCCAGGCCAAAGGCGAUGGAUUUAGGGUCCAUUUCCGCAGGGAUUCGGGGGUUCGAAUCCCCCUCUCCGCA